CUUGAAACACGGACCAAGGAGUUUAUCGUGUACGCAAGUCAUUGGGUGAAUAAAACCCAAAGGCGAAAUGAAAGUAAAGAGUUGAGUUUAUAAAAGAAAAUUUAUUUUUUUUUAUUUCUCUCUUAAGGGAAGAUGAAAAUUUAAAUAUAUAAUUAUUAUAAUUAUUUAUUUAAAUUUUUCGCAUUCCCAGGGCGCUUGUUUCACGCUUUGCGUGUCAAUGCGCACCUAGAGCGUACACGCUGAUACCCGAAAGAUGGUGAACUAUGCCUGGCCAGGACGAAGCCAGGGGAAACCCUGGUGGAGGUCCGCAGCGAUUCUGACGUGCAAAUCGAUCGUCGGAGCUGGGUAUAGGGGCGAAAGACCAAUCGAACCAUCUAGUAGCUGGUUCCCUCUGAAGUUUCCCUCAGGAUA
rnacentral:rRNA from 1 species